GUUGAACGCUGGCGGCGUGCCUUAUACAUGCCAGUCGAGCGGACACACGGGGAGCUUCCUCCCCUGACGUUACCGGCGGGCGGGUGAGUAACACGUGGAUGACCUAUCGAUAAGACUGGGAUGACUUCGGGCAACCGGAUCUCACACCCGACAAUAUAUUGAACCGCAUGGUUCCAUAGGCAAAGACCGUUUUGCUGUCACUUUUAGAUGGAUCCGCGCCGCAUUAGCUAGUUGGUAAGGUAACGGCUUACCAAGGCGACGAUGCGUAGCCGACCUGAGAGGGUGAUCGGCCACACUGGAACUGAGACACGGUCCAGACUCCUACGGGAGGCAGCAGUAGGGAAUCUUCCGCAAUGGGCGAAAGCCUGACGGAGCAACGCCGCGUGAGUGAUGAAGGUCUUCGGAUCGUAAAACUCUGUUAUUAGGGAAGAACAAAUGUGUAAGUAACUAUGCACGUCUUGACGGUACCUAAUCAGAAAGCCACGGCUAACUACGUG
rnacentral:rRNA from 1 species